rnacentral:rRNA from 1 species
UUUAUCAAAAACAUGUCCUUUAGAAUUUAAUUUGAGGUCUGGUCUGCCCACUGAGGUGAUUUAAAUGGCCGCAGUAUUUUAACUGUGCAAAGGUAGCAUAAUCAUUAGUCUUUUAAUUAAGGGCUUGUAUGAAUGAUUUGACAAGAUAUAAAUUGUUUCAUAAAUAUUUAUAGAAUUUAAUUUUUUAGUUAAAAAGCUAAAAUUUUAUUAAAAGACGAGAAGACCCUAUAGAUCUUUAUAAUUAAUAAAUUUUAUAUAUAAAGUAUAAAUAGUAUAUAAUUUAUUGUAUUAUUUUAUUGGGGUGAUAGUAAGAUUAGUUUAACUUUUAUAUUUUAUAAACCAUAGAUUAAUGAUUNAAUGAUCCAUUAUUAUUGAUUAUUAAAAUAAGUUACCUUAGGGAUAACAGCGUAAUUUUCUUGG